AACGAACGCUGGCGGCAUGCCUAACACAUGCAAGUCGAACGUGAUCCGGAGCUUGCUCCGGUGAAAGUGGCGCACGGGUGAGUAACGCGUGGGAACCUGCCCAAAGGUAAGGAAUAACCGCGGGAAACUGCGGCUAAUACCUUAUGCUCCCUUCGGGGGAAAGAUUUAUCGCCUUUGGAUGGGCCCGCGUCGGAUUAGCUAGUUGGUGAGGUAACGGCUCACCAAGGUGACGAUCCGUAGCUGGUCUGAGAGGAUGAUCAGCCACACUGGGACUGAGACGCGGCCCAGACUCCUACGGGAGGCAGCAGUGGGGAAUAUUGGACAAUGGGCGCAAGCCUGAUCCAGCAAUGCCGCGUGAGUGAUGAAGGCCUUAGGGUUGUAAAGCUCUUUCGGCGGGGAAGAUGAUGACGGUACCCGCAGAAGAAGCCCCGGCUAACUUCGUGCCAGCCGCCGCGGUAAGAC
rnacentral:rRNA from 1 species